GAUCAUGGCUCAGGAUGAACGCUGGCGGCGUGCUUAACACAUGCAAGUCGAACGAAGAUGCCGGAGUGCUUGCACUUUGGCAGACUGAGUGGCGGACGGGUGAGUAACGCGUGGGUAACCUGCCUUAUACAGGGGGAUAACAGUUGGAAACGACUGCUAAUACCGCAUAAGCGCACGGUAUCGCAUGAUACAGUGUGAAAAACUCCGGUGGUAUAAGAUGGACCCGCGUCUGAUUAGCUUGUUGGCGGGGUAACGGCCCACCAAGACCGCGAUCGGUAGCCGACCUGAGAGGGUGACCGGCCACAUUGGGACUGAGACACGGCCCAGACUCCUACGGGAGGCAGCAGUGGGGAAUAUUGCACAAUGGAGGAAACUCUGAUGCAGCGACGCCGCGUGAGCGAAGAAGUAUUUCGGUAUGUAAAGCUCUGUCAGCAGGGAAGAUAAUGACGGUACCUGACCAAGAAGCCCCGGCUAACUACGUG
rnacentral:rRNA from 1 species